ensembl:lncRNA
CAAAGCGUAUCUCAAAGCUUAGCAUAAAUAAUAUUUUAGAAGCCAUGGCUGACUAAAAUAAACUUUGUACGUCUGCCCUUACCUUUCUGCCAACUACAAUCCAACUAAUUUCAUUUUGAAAUGUAAACUUUAAAAAGAAAUCAGUAAGUGGCACUUCAGAAGAAAGAUGAUAACGCUACUGGAAAAGUUACACUCUCAAAGGACAAUUAAGUAUUGAGUUUUUCCUUUUGCAUAUGAAUACCCUACAUAGCAAUGGAGAGUUCUGGUCUGAUUCUUUAAAAUGAGAUUUUGUUCCCAGGCAGCAAAAUUCACAUGCUUCUUUCAGUUCCUCCUCAAGCAACAGCAAAGCCUGAAAAAGAAAGCUCUGGACCAAGGCAGCUAACAGAAGGAAACCCUGUGUCUGCUUGUCCUGGCAGUCCUUCAGCAAUUUCACCCAUUUUUAAAUUGCACCCAUUUUUAAGAAGAAUAGAAAUGAUGACCCAGGGAACUACCAGCCUGUCAUCCUCAACUCUGUGCUGGGGAAGGUCAUGGAACUGAUUCUCCUGGAAGCUGUGCUAAGGCAUAUGGAAGAGAGGGAGGUGAUACUUGAUAACCAACAUGGCUUCACCACAGGCUUUACUUGGCCUACCCCCAAAUGAAAUUUCAAACUUUGAGGACUGUAUGAUCAAUUAUUUAACUGCUUGCAGAGAGAAAUCCAGAAGUCUUUCUUAUUAAUGUAAUCGUUGUCUCUGAUUCAGCAGCUCCUCCGGUUUAUCAGGUAUCUACACUUUCUUUUGGUAAUCAUCAUUGAACAUGUUUGUGAGUGUUGUAAAUGUUUUCUCCAAGUGCUACAAAAGCUUUUUUAUUUUUUUUUUAAACUACCUUACAGUAAAAGUACUGUAAAGCUUCUACUUUCAGUGAAUUUGAUAGCAUGAUGGAUUUGAAUAACUCCAGAUU